rnacentral:tRNA from 1 species
GAGGGUUUAGCUCAGUGGUAGAGCGCAUGCCUAGCAUGAACAAGGUCCUGGGUUCAAUCCUCACUACCUCCA